CCUACGGGUGACAGCAGUGAGGAAUAUUGGUCAAUGGUCGGGAGACUGAACCAGCCAAGCCGCGUGAGGGAUGAAGGUACAGAGUAUCGUAAACCUCUUUUGUCAGGGAACAAAGGCGGGGACGCGUCCCCGGAUGAGUGUACCUGAAGAAAAAGCAUCGGCUAACUCCGUGCCAGCAGCCGCGGUAAUACGGAGGAUGCGAGCGUUAGCCGGAUUUAUUGGGUUUAAAGGGUGCGCGGGCGGUCUGUUAAGUCAGCGGUAAAAGCCCGGGGCCCAACCCCGGCCCGCCGUUGAAACUGGCAGUCUCGAGUUGGAGAGAGGUAUGCGGAAUGCGCGGUGUAGCGGUGAAAUGCAUAGAUAUCGCGCAGAACUCCGAUUGCGAAGGCAGCAUGCCGGCUCCACACUGACGCUGAGGCACGAAAGCGUGGGUAUCGAACAGGAUUAGAUACCCUGGUAGUC
rnacentral:rRNA from 1 species